GGGUCAAACUGAAAAUAUUUUCAGUGUUGAUCGUAAAAUAAGGGACCCAAGGCGUAAAACAAAUUCCGUUCUCAUUUUCACUUCAAACAAUUUCCGUCUGAGCUCUCUCACACGCACUCGAAGCAGCAAGUGCUCUCCAAGCUCAGUCACACCGAGCUCCACCAUCUCCCUCAUGCCAAACGCUUAAGAUCCUCUCCCUCACACAGCCGAUCCUCUCCACGCACAUAAUGUCAAAGGGCAAAAAGAAAGUGAGCAGCAGCAAGCAGUUCAGGUGGCUGCCGCCCAUGCACUCAACGAUGCUUAGGCUACUUGCGCAGGAGGCUGCAAAGGGCAACAAGCCGUCUAGCACUUUCAAGGCAGGCUCCUUUGCUCUUGUAGCGAAGGAGACAACUGCCCAAUUUGGGGUUGAGUGGCACCCCUCUUAUGUUGAAAAUCGGAUGCGGACUCUAAGGACCAUGUGGUUCAUUAUUCAGACUAUUAGAAAGAAGAGUGACUUUGGCUAGGAUGAUAACCUAAAAACGAUAACAUGCGACGCGAAGACAUACCAAGAAGAAGUCAUGGUAUGGCUUCCAACUAUAUUUUCUUAAUAUAAAUGAUAAUAUAUGUUUUUGCCUUUUAUAAUCUAUGAAUUGAGAACAAGACAAGGUUGCUCAAGUACCCUCUUUAUAUGAAAUUUAUAGUGUCAUUCUUUUUAGGAUUCCAUUGCUUUUAUAAAGUUUUUCAAAUAUAACUUUCAUGCGCGGAUCUAUUGUAAAAUCUGGUCUUAGAUUUGUACAUUGUAUUUUCUGUUGUACUUAUCUUCAAAAUCAUGAGUUAUGUCUUCUCUUCCCUAACAAAUUUUUCUGUUUAUCAUUGACCUAAAUCAUUUAAUGACAUCUAUAUUGAAUUUAUGAGUGAAGUGAUUAUUGUAUUGUUAUUAUACGUUCCUUUCUCCCUUACAGGCGCAUCGAAAGCAUGCAGAGUAUCUAAACAAAAAAAUUGAGAUAUAUGAUGAAUUAGCUAUUGUUGUGGGGAAGGAGACAGCCAUGGGUGGCUUUUCUAAGUUCUAUGUGGAUAUUGAGAAUGAGCCAGACAAUGGGGACAGUGCUGAGUUUGUUACAAACAAUAUGGAGUAAGGUGUGGUCGAGAAAGGGAAGAAUGUAGUCGAGUCAUCCACCAUUGGGUUGGGAAUUUCCAAGUCCCGCAAAAGAGGGCGUGAACCUUCUAAUGCUGAUGAUAAUGUGCUAACUGAUCUAUCUGAUCAGCUGAAGGAAAUAGCUGUGGCUCUGAAAGAAAUCAACGGGGACCCGGUGGAUUACACAGUUCUUUACAAUGAGGUCAUGGCUAUGAUGGCGGAUAGGUAUAGCAAAGACAUGCUUGCAACUGCGUUUGACCAUCUUUGUGAAAAUGAGAAGGCAGCAUGGGGAUUUCUAGCCAAGAAUGCUAGGCUGAGAAAGAUGUGGUUGGGUGGUUUUUUGUACUCACAACUUUGACUUGUCUAUUUCAUGUUAAUUCUGACGGUAGCUUUAGGAAUUAACUUUUGUUGUAGUACUAGUGUUGACCUACCAUUGUAUUAUAUAUGUAGUCUUUUGUAUUAUUGGGACGAUAUAAUUGCCCAAAUUAUGUAUUUGUACUAUUCAUAUACCACGAGUAGGUAUCAUUUUUGUACACCAUGGAGGUGUAAUGCCAAUGGUGAAUGAUUGAUGUGGCUGUUUUUAUAUAAAUAUUAUGGGUAUAUUCAAAUGAUUA